rnacentral:rRNA from 1 species
UACGGGGGGGGCAAGCGUUGUUCGGAAUUACUGGGCGUAAAGGGCUCGUAGGUGGCCAACUAAGUCAGACGUGAAAUCCCUCGGCUUAACCGGGGAACUGCGUCUGAUACUGGAUGGCUUGAGUUUGGGAGAGGGAUGCGGAAUUCCAGGUGUAGCGGUGAAAUGCGUAGAUAUCAGGAGGAACACCGGUGGCGAAGGCGGGUCUCUGGGCCGAUACUGACGCUGGAGGAGCGAAAGCGUGGGGAGCGAACAGG